GUCCAGCAAGGGGCAGCACAGGCCACACUUUCCCCUCCUCGCCAAAGCCGAGGUGACGUCGGCACUUCCUGGUAGUGACGCGGGCGCCGUGACGUCACGCGGAGAGCGGCCAGCCCCCCUCGGUGGUGCGGAGUAAUGUUUGGUGUUUGCGGGAGCAGCAGCGCAGUCACGCCGGGACAAAGUUUGCCUGGCAAACGUCAACAUUGUCCGGUAAAAAACACCCAAAAAGCACACGCCUCGGCCACGGACGCCUCAGCGGGGCCGGCAAAGAAGAAGAAUUGAUAUUUCCUGUGGAGAAAAGCCGUCGUUUGUCCUCUCAGCUUGUCCGUUUCCGGAUAUUAGCGCGCUGUUUUUGCUGGAACAUUUUGCUUUUUUUCUUCCUUCUGGGAUAACUUUUACUCCUUUUUUUUUUUACAUCUUUGGAGCAUGGACACGCCGAGGUAACAAGGCCGCCGUGUUUGAGAAGUCCAGCUCCCCGCUGGAGUUCGCCAAGGUCACUUCCCGAUGAUGACAGUAAACAUGGAUGAUGUUCCCCAAAACGGACCCAGACCGCCCCGGAACCUCCAAGAUGACGAGGAGGCGCUCCACUCCAUCAUGAAGGACCUGGCAGCCCUGGGGUGUUGUUACACGCAGAACAGCCACAAGCCCAAGAGCAGAAGUUUACUGUA